CCUACGGGAGGCAGCAGUGAGGAAUAUUGGUCAAUGGGCGUAAGCCUGAACCAGCCAAGUCGCGUGAGGGAUGAAGGUUCUAUGGAUCGUAAACCUCUUUUAUAAGGGAAUAAAGUGCGGGACGUGUCCCGUUUUGUAUGUACCUUAUGAAUAAGGAUCGGCUAACUCCGUGCCAGCAGCCGCGGUAAUACGGAGGAUCCGAGCGUUAUCCGGAUUUAUUGGGUUUAAGGGGUGCGUAGGCGGCCUUUUAAGUCAGCGGUGAAAUUCUAUGGCUUAACCAUAGAAUUGCCGUUGAAACUGGGAGGCUUGAGUAUGUUUGAGGCAGGUGGAAUGCGUGGUGUAGCGGUGAAAUGCGUAGAGAUCACGCAGAACCCCGAUGGCGAAGGCAGCCUGCCAAGCCAUGACUGACGCUGAUGCACGAAAGCGUGGGGAUCAAACAGGAUUAGAUACCCUGGUAGUC
rnacentral:rRNA from 1 species